GAACUUCAUCCCGCCCGAGGAGAAGGAGAAGAUCAUCAACAGAGCUUACUUCGACGAAGACGAAGAUGUCUGGAAGCUACGACCACUGAUGCACGGCGCUAGCGGAGGUGCAGGCAGCAGUGUCCUGAAGCGACCAGUAUCCUCCUCCACCCGCCGUCCCGUGUCCGAGUACGCCAAGACCCAGGCCGCCCUGCACAACAACCCCCGCUUUAAGGGCGAGAACAUCAUGGUGCUAGACCUGGAC
rnacentral:lncRNA from 1 species